rnacentral:rRNA from 1 species
CGUAGGGGGCUAGCGUUGUCCGGAUUUAUUGGGCGUAAAGAGCGUGUAGGCGGCCAGGUAAGUCUGGUGUGAAAACUCGAGGCUUAACCUCGAGAUGUCAUCGGAAACUAUCUGGCUAGAGUCCGGAAGAGGAAAGUGGAAUUCCUGGUGUAGCGGUGAAAUGCGCAGAUAUCAGGAAGAACACCAAUGGCGAAGGCAGCUUUCUGGGACGGUACUGACGCUGAGACGCGAAAGCGUGGGGAGCGAACAGGAUUAGAUACCCUGGUAGUCCACGCCGUAAACGAUGGGCGCUAGGUGUGGGCGGUGUCGACUCCGUCCGUGCCGAAGCUAACGCAUUAAGCGCCCCGCCUGGGGAGUACGGCCGCAAGGCUA